rnacentral:rRNA from 1 species
CCUACGGGAGGCUGCAGUCGAGAAUCUUGGGCAAUGCACGAAAGUGUGACCCAGCGACGCCGCGUGGAGGAUGAAGGCCCUUGGGUUGUAAACUCCUUUUAUGGAAGAAGAACGUCCCUUCGGGGACUUGACGGUACUCCAUGAAUAAGCCACGGCUAACUACGUGCCAGCAGCCGCGGUAAUACGUAGGUGGCAAGCGUUGUCCGGAUUUACUGGGCGUAAAGCGUGUGUAGGCGGACCUUUAAGUAGAAAGUGAAAGGUUGGUGCUCAACACCAACAUUGCUCUCUAUACUGGAGGUCUUGAGUGUCGGAGAGGAAGAUGGAACUGCACGUGUAGCGGUGAAAUGCGUUGAGAUGUGCAGGAACACCAAUGGCGAAGGCAAUCUUCUGGACGAAAACUGACGCUGAGACACGAAAGCCAAGGUAGCAAACAGGAUUAG